UCCUGCAAUCAACCUCAAGAUGCCAUUAAAUGCUACCUAAAUGCAGCUAGAAGCAAACGUUGUAGUAAUACCUCUACGCUUGCUGCAAGAAUUAAAUUUCUACAGCUCAGUUGUGUAACCUUCCACAAAGUAGUCUACAGAAUAAAACUAAAUUACUUCCUAGUAUUGAGGAGGCAUGGAGCCUACCAAUCCCCGCAGAGCUUACCUCCAGGCAGGG
rnacentral:lncRNA from 1 species